UUGGUGAAGCUGUAUCAAAGGUUCCUGCUUCUAUCAACACCAGUCCCUCCAUUUUGGAGGCCUCAGCACCCACUUCCUGUAUCUGGGGAGUGAGUCCCAGAGAGAGCCAGCAGUUACUGCGUAGCCUUGGACGGGGAAUCAGGAGACCUGGUUUCUAAUCCCUGCUCUGUCACUAGCAAGCUUUGUGAUCUUCGAAGCUUAAGUGAAAAUGGUACAUGCUAGAAGGCACGAAACAAGAAAAAAUUCUAAAACCCAAGUACCAGAGCAAAAAUCUCGAGUCGAUUGGCGUCGGACUAAGAGAAGUGUCUCACAGUUAUUUGAUAGUGACGAAGAGCUUGAUAGUGACGAGGAAAUUGGCAGUGAUGAAGACCUUGAUGGUGGGGAAAGUAUUGACAGUGAUGGAAAGCUUGAUAUUAGCAAGGACUCUGGUAUUAAUGAAAUACCAGAAAAGGAAACAGAGCUUAACU
rnacentral:lncRNA from 1 species